GAUGAACGCUGGCGGCGUGCCUAAUACAUGCAAGUCGAGCGAACGGACGAGAAGCUUGCUUCUCUGAUGUUAGCGGCGGACGGGUGAGUAACACGUGGAUAACCUACCUAUAAGACUGGGAUAACUUCGGGAAACCGGAGCUAAUACCGGAUAAUAUUUUGAACCGCACGGUUCAAAAGUGAAAGACGGUCUUGCUGUCACUUAUAGAUGGAUCCGCGCUGCAUUAGCUAGUUGGUAAGGUAACGGCUUACCAAGGCAACGAUGCAUAGCCGACCUGAGAGGGUGAUCGGCCACACUGGAACUGAGACACGGUCCAGACUCCUACGGGAGGCAGCAGUAGGGAAUCUUCCGCAAUGGGCGAAAGCCUGACGGAGCAGCGCCGCGUGAGUGAUGAAGGUCUUCGGAUCGUAAAACUCUGUUAUUAGGGAAGAACAUAUGUGUAAGUAACUGUGCACAUCUUGACGGUACCUAAUCAGAAAGCCACGGCUAACUACGUG
rnacentral:rRNA from 1 species